GUGCUUGCUUUGGCAGCACAUAUACUAAAACUGGAAUGAUACAGAGAAGAUUAGCCUGGCCCCUGCACAAGGAUGACAUGCAAAUUUGUGAAGCCUUCCAUUAAAAAAUUCUU
ensembl:snRNA U6 U6 spliceosomal RNA